CAGAGUUUGAUUAUGGCUCAGGAUGAACGCUGGCGGCGUGCUUAACACAUGCAAGUCGAACGGGAAAUACUUCAUUGAGACUUCGGUGGAUUUGAUCUAUUUCUAGUGGCGGACGGGUGAGUAACGCGUGGGUAACCUGCCUUAUACAGGGGGAUAACAGUCAGAAAUGGCUGCUAAUACCGCAUAAGCGCACAGAGCUGCAUGGCUCAGUGUGAAAAACUCCGGUGGUAUAAGAUGGACCCGCGUUGGAUUAGCUGGUUGGUGGGGUAACGGCCCACCAAGGCGACGAUCCAUAGCCGGCCUGAGAGGGUGAACGGCCCACAUUGGGACUGAGACACGGCCCAGACUCCUACGGGAGGCAGCAGUGGGGAAUAUUGCACAAUGGGGGAAACCCUGAUGCAGCGACGCCGCGUGAAGGAAGAAGUAUCUCGGUAUGUAAACUUCUAUCAGCAGGGAAGAUAGUGACGGUACCUGC
rnacentral:rRNA from 1 species